GGACUACUGGGGUAUCUAAUCCUGUUCGCUCCCCACGCUUUCGCGCCUCAGCGUCAAUAUCAGCCCAGAAAGCUGCCUUCGCCAUCGAUGUUCUUUCCGAUCUCUACGCAUUUCACCGCUACACCGGAAAUUCCACUUCCCUCUGCCAUAUUCUAGCUUUACAGUUUGGAUCGCACAUCCCAGGUUAAGCCCGGAAAUUUCACCACCCACUUACAAAACCGCCUACGCGCCCUUUACGCCCAAUAAGUCCGAUUAACGCUCGCACCCUCUGUAUUACCGCGGCUGCUGGCAC
rnacentral:rRNA from 1 species